rnacentral:rRNA from 1 species
CUAUCCAUGGCCAGGUUGAAGCGAGGGUAAAACCUCGUGGAGGACCGAACCACGUUGCUGUUGAAAAAGCAUGGGAUGAGCUGUGGAUAGCGGAGAAAUUCCAAUCGAACCCGGAGAUAGCUGGUUCUCUCCGAAAUAGCUUUAGGGCUAGCGUCGAGUAUGAGUAGUGGAGGUAGAGCACUGAAUGGGCUAGGGGGCAUAGCGCUUACCGAACCUUAUCAAACUCCGAAUGCCACAUACUUUGAGCUCGGCAGUCAGACUACGAAUGAUAAGAUCCGUGGUCAAAAGGGAAACAGCCCAGAUCGUCAGCUAAGGUCCCAAAGUGUAAGUUAAGUGGGAAAGGAUGUGAGAUUUCUAAGACAACUAGGAUGUUGGCUUAGAAGCAGCCAUUCAUUAAAAGAGUGCGUAAUAGCUCACUAGUCGAGAGAUCUUGCGCCGAAAAUGUAACGGGGCUAAACUUACC